rnacentral:rRNA from 1 species
AGUGAACGCUGGCGGUAGGCCUAACACAUGCAAGUCGAACGGCAGCACAGUAAGAGCUUGCUCUUACGGGUGGCGGGUGGCGGACGGGUGAGGAAUACAUCGGAAUCUACUUUUUCGUGGGGGAUAACGUAGGGAAACUUACGCUAAUACCGCAUACGACCUACGGGUGAAAGCAGGGGAUCUUCGGACCUUGCGCGAUUGAAUGAGCCGAUGUCGGAUUAGCUAGUUGGCGGGGUAAAGGCCCACCAAGGCGACGAUCCGUAGCUGGUCUGAGAGGAUGAUCAGCCACACUGGAACUGAGACACGGUCCAGACUCCUACGGGAGGCAGCAGUGGGGAAUAUUGGACAAUGGGCGCAAGCCUGAUCCAACCAUACCGCGUGGGUGAAGAAGGCCUUCGGGUUGUAAAGCCCUUUUGUUGGGAAAGAAAAGCAGCAGGUUAAUACCCCGCUGUUCUGACGGUACCCAAAGAAUAAGCACCGGCUAACUUCGUG